AUGACUUUGAUCUGCGUCCUCAUCUGGACUCUCCUCUGCUGCUGUUUCACAGAGUCCAGAGGACAGUACACUCUGACUCAGCCUGGAGCAGUGAGGUCUGCUCCGGGAGGCUCCGUCUCCAUCAGCUGUAGGACCAGUCAGGAUGUUUAUAGUGGGAACGUUUUAGCCUGGUACCAACAGAGAGAUGGAGGAACUCCUAAACUGCUCAUUUACUCUGCUAGCACUCGUCAGUCAGGGAUUCCAGGUCGUUUUACAGGCAGUGGAUCAAAAUCUGACUUCACUCUGACCAUCAGUGGAGUUCAGACUGAAGAUGCAGCAGUUUACUACUGUAAGAGUUUUCACUAUCCCAACAAUCAGUACGUGUUCACACAGUGA